rnacentral:rRNA from 1 species
UGGGGAAUCUUGCGCAAUGGACGAAAGUCUGACGCAGCGACGCCGCGUGGGUGAUGAAGGCCUUCGGGUUGUAAAGCCCUGUGGGGAGAGACGAAUAAGUAGAAGCUAAUACCUUCUAUGAUGACGGUAUCUCUUUAGCAAGCACCGGCUAACUCUGUGCCAGCAGCCGCGGUAAGACAGAGGGUGCAAACGUUGUUCGGAAUUACUGGGCGUAAAGCGUGUGUAGGCGGCUGCGUAAGUCGGAUGUGAAAGCCCCAGGCUCAACCUGGGAAGUGCACCCGAUACUGCCUGGCUUGAGUAUCGGAGAGGUUGGUGGAAUUCUCGGUGUAGAGGUGAAAUUCGUAGAUAUCGAGAGGAACACCGGUGGCGAAGGCGGCCAACUGGACGAAUACUGACGCUGAGACACGAAAGCGUGGGGAGCAAACA